UGAUAUCUGUCUAUGAGAGCAAAGAGAAAAGAGUCAACAGAUGAGGGCUGUGUUUGGAAGCCCUGUGAGUAGGAACUCUCCAGAUGUGCUUCUGCCUUCUUGAGGCCUGACCUUCCUGUCUCUGAUGGCAUUAAGCUGACGCCACAGGCAUGCAGAAGUUGUCAGUAAACCAAUGAAACCCUAGGUGGAACGAGACAUGGAGGGCACCGGUCACAUUAGAUAUUAAGUUCAGCCUGUGGGUGUGGAUGCCUGAGUAACUUUCCCACUGACCCUCAUCACCUUUUAAAAGCAAACUGUUGAAAGGUGAGAGAGAGAUGGCAGAUGAUGUAAAAACCAUUAUACCAUGUUCACGUCAUGUGGAUCCUAUACCUCUGUAUUGAUGCUAAAGACUGAGAACGAAUGGGAACUGUAGACCCC
rnacentral:lncRNA from 1 species